rnacentral:rRNA from 1 species
UUCCGGUUGAUCCUGCCAGACCUGACUGCUAUCGGAUUGAUACUAAGCCAUGCGAGUCAUUGUAGCAAUACAAGGCAGACGGCUCAGUAACGCGUAGUCAACCUAACCUAUGGACGGGAAUAACCUCGGGAAACUGAGAAUAAUGCCCGAUAGAACACUAUACCUGGAAUGGUUUGUGUUCCAAAUGAUUUAUCGCCGUAGGAUGGGACUGCGGCCUAUCAGUUUGUUGGUGAGGUAAUGGCCCACCAAGACUAUUACAGGUACGGGCUCUGAGAGGAGUAGCCCGGAGAUGGGUACUGAGACACGGACCCAGGCCCUAUGGGGCGCAGCAGGCGAGAAAACUUUGCAAUGUGCGAAAGCACGACAAGGUUAAUCCGAGUGGUUUCUGCUAAAGGAACCUUUUGUUAGUCCUAGAAACACUAACGAAUAAGGGGUGGGCAAGU